rnacentral:rRNA from 1 species
GACGAACGCUGGCGGCGCGCUUAACACAUGCAAGUCGAACGGAAAGGCCCUGCUUUUGUGGGGUGCUCGAGUGGCGAACGGGUGAGUAACACGUGAGUAACCUGCCCUUGACUUUGGGAUAACUUCAGGAAACUGGGGCUAAUACCGGAUAGGAGCUCCUGCUGCAUGGUGGGGGUUGGAAAGUUUCGGCGGUUGGGGAUGGACUCGCGGCUUAUCAGCUUGUUGGUGGGGUAGUGGCUUACCAAGGCUUUGACGGGUAGCCGGCCUGAGAGGGUGACCGGCCACAUUGGGACGGAGAUACGGCCCAGACGCCUACGGGAGGCAGCAGCGGGGAAUAUUGCACAAUGGGCGGAAGCCUGAUGCAGCAACGCCGCGUGCUGGAUGACGGCCUUCGGGUUGUAAACCGCUUUCGCCUGUGACGAAGCGUGAGUGACGGUAAUGGGUAGAGAAGCACGGGGUAAAUACGUG